rnacentral:rRNA from 1 species
UACGGAGGGGGCAAGCGUUAUUCGGAAUUAUUGGGCGUAAAGGGCGCGUAGGCGGCUAGAUGUGUCAAAGGUGAAAUCCCUCGGCUCAACUGAGGAACUGCCUUUGAAACUGUCUGGCUUGAGGCCGGGAGAGGGUAGCGGAAUUCCCAGUGUAGCGGUGAAAUGCGCAGAUAUCAGGAGGAACACCGGUGGCGAAGGCGGGUCUCUGGGCAACAACUGACGCUGAGGAGCGAAAGCGUGGGGAGCGAACAGG